CGGCGGGGCGGUGGGGAUGGUUGGGCCGGCACCUGGGUGGGUGGGAUCCUGGCUGGACGGGGGCGGACAGAGCGGGGAGCUGGUGGAGAGGCGAGCGAGAGUGGGGAGGAUUGCGAGGAGACGCGCGGCGAGGAGGUGGAAGGCGGGAGGGCGCUGAGAGGCGGCCCGAGUGGGGACAUGGAUGAAAUCUGACGCAGACACCGUGGCAUUCCACGAACUUUUUUGAGCCCUGAAAUGAUGUUUUCACUCUCAAAAGUGAAAAACAAUUGCAAAUCGAAAUUAAUAAGUCUACCAAAAUAACCUCUCAACUGGUACAUAAGCCAUAUAUUAUACAUCACGAUGUGGGUUCAUUUAAUACAUUUUAUACAAUUUGGAGAGGGGCGAUCAAGUCGGAGUGUUUAGGACCCUCGGAGGUCCUGAAAUGGCCUUGAACUGAGAAGGGUUUGGGAUGGAAGCGAGGAGGUAGUGUCAGAGCUGAUUUGCCUUUCUAGGGAUACCAAGCCGAAGGCAUUGGCCCGUGGGAGUACCAAGUCAGGGAUACUGCGAAAUUGACUCCUCUAGGUUUUCAGAAAGGGACCAGAAAUGUCAUGUGAACUGGAGAUUAAAGGGUGGCUAAGUCGCCCUGGGUUUAGAGUACAGGAUAAGACAUCAGGGAAGUCCAGGGUCAGGGACCUUAAAAGGUGCAGAGGAUGGUACCUCAGAGUGCACCCCCUUUAGUAAACUGAGGCCCUAAGGGAAUAUCUGAUUUAGAGUAAGGUAUCCCAGGGUGGGGUUUAGACUACAUCGCAAACCUGCAUCUUGUAAUUGUGGAAGCAACAUAUGUACGGAGUUGUCUGGUGGGUUUCUUUGGGGCUAGUUUGCCUCUUUCUUAUUAACCACAACAAAGGAACCUUAAAGAGAACUCAACUUCUGCCAUUAAAUAAUUACAUCCAACACAGGAAAUGGGAAGGAUAUUGAUGGACAUAAGGAGGUAUGAAGUGAGUUUUGUGUUAAAGUACAUGUUGGCUUCCCUCAGACGACUUAGAUGAUAAUGUGAGGCAAGAAAACUGAACGUUUAGCGUAUAUCCUUUCCUUAUUCAUAUACUACACAUCAAUGCUAGAUACUUUUCCCUAAAACAUAACUUUUUUAAAGCAUAUUCUCUGCUUAAGACUCCAACCCCCACAUUUCUACCCCCAAAUAUAUUACCAUAAGGUUUUUCCACUUCUUUACUAUUCACAUUUUGGGCUAGAUAAUUAUUUGUUGUGGGGGACUGUCCUGUGCACGGUGGGAUAUUUAGAAGCAUCACAAAAUGCCCACUAGGUGCCCAUAGUAGCGCACGCGCGCGCGCACACACACACGUACGCACACACCAAGUUAUGACAGCAAAACUCUUUAAAAAUUGUUGGGGCACCUGGGUGGCUCAGUCGGUUAAGGCAACUUGACUUUUGAUUUCAGCUCAGGUCAUGAUCUCGCGUCAUGACAUCAAGCCCCACAGGGCUCUGCACUGGGUGUGAAGCCUACCUAAGAUUCUCUGACCCUCCCCUGCUCUGGCAUGAGUGUGUUCUCUCUCAAAAAAAAAAAAAAAAAAAAAAAAAGGAAAAAAAUUGUCAUAUGUCCCUGGGGGACAAAAUCACCCCAGUCCUAUUGAGAACCAUAGGAUAGAGCCCAUUGACUUUAACCUGGCUUUUAAGAUUCUUCAUUAUCUGUUCUCAGUCUGUCUUUCCCAGAACGUGAUCCAGUCUAAAAGAACCACCAAUGCAGGAAUCCUUUCUUUAGUUUCCUCCAUAAAUUAUCUACUUGUCUGGGACAUUUCAAGGAUGGAAAAGACUUAAAACCUUUACUUUGCCAAUUCAGCUUCAUAGUCACUUUGCAUCUACAUAUUGGUUUGUGCCCUGUCACGACCAGAUCAAGGAGAAAGAUUAAACACUUUAAGAUGAGAAAAAAUGACCUGUGUUUGAGCUCUGAGGGGGCGGAAGUGAUUUUAGCUACAUCAAGUGAUGAAAAACACCCUCCUGAAAGUAUGAUUGAUGGGAAUCCAGAUACAUUUUGGACCACAACAGGAAUGUUUCCCCAAGAGUUCAUUAUUUGUUUUCACAAACAUGUAAGGAUUGAAAGACUUGUAAUCCAGAGUUACUUUGUGAGGACGUUGAGGAUUGAAAAGAGCACCUCUAAAGAGCCAGUUGAUUUUGAGCCAUGGAUUGAAAGAGAUCUAGUCCACACAGAGGGGCAGCUUCAGAAUGAAGAAAUUAUGGAAACACGAGGGAUGGAUAAACAAGUAAAAUGACACCAAAAGGAAGCAAAUAGACUAGAGGCCAUUUUGUAGCUCACUGAAAUGUGCAGAGCUGCGCCUUCCCUGCACAAGGUAAGAUAUGCUUCCUGGCCUUCUUGGCUUGGGUAGGGCCAUGUGACCAAUUGUGGGUGAUGAGAUGAGGGGAAAGUGAUUGCUAGGCCGAGCAUUUAAUUGCCUGCAUGAGACACUUCAAAGCUCUUUUUUUUUUUCUCUGUCACAACGACCGGCCGUGACGUUCUACACAGUAACUACUUCAUCAGUCUGGGUCUGGAAGUGAGCCUGGUGAUGGCAGGUAGCAGACCUCUCAGCCAGUGUGAGAUGGACAUACAGAAGGAAAAAUAAAGGUUCAUCGUUUUAAGUCCAUGAAAUUUGGAGUAUAACCUGGCCUGUCCUGACCGAUUCACAGACAAAUCUAGAAUGUGGCUUAUCCUACACAGCAAGUGACCUGGUUUCUUCAAGUCAGUGGCCUGAAAAAUGACUCAAGCCAUCUCAGCCCUCAGGUAGCUUCAGAGGAGGGGGAAUGUCCCCAGAGGGCUAAGGUUAAUAAACUCCAAAUGGCAGCGGAGAUGGAACUGAAGGAGAGACAGGCAGGACACAGCAGAGGAGGUGCUGGAGGAAGCAUGGUGAAGGCGGGCUGCCGUGAGAAAAUCCAGCAGGCUGGGGGCUUAAACAGACAUUUAUUUUCUCACACUUCUGGAGACUGAAAGGCCAAGCUCAGAGUGCCAGCAUCGUUGGUUUCUGGUGAGACCUCUCUUCCUGGCUUGUACACGGCCACCAUCUUCCUAUGUGCUCACAUGACCUCUUCUCUGUCCACAGCGGGAAAGCGAGCUCUCUAGUGUCCGUUCUUAAAAGGACACUGAUCCUAUUGUAUCAUUGCCCUUGCCUGACCUCAUUUAACAUUACUAAUUUUUUUUAAUGUUUAUUUUUGAGAAACAGAGACAGAGCAUGAGCAAGGGAGGGACAGAGAGAGAGGGAGACACAGAAUCUGAAGCAGGCUCCAGGCUCUGAGCUGUCAGCACAGAGCCUGAUGCGGAGCUCGAACUCGUGAGCCGUGAUAUCAUGACCUAAGCCGAAGUUGGACACUCAACCAACUGAGCCACCCAGGCUCCCCUCACUUAACCUUAAUUACCACCUCUAGGCCCUGUCUCCAAAUAGAGUCACCCUGGGGGUUAGAGCUACAACAUAUGAAUUCAGUGCGUAGGAGGUGGUGAGAAGGCAGUUAAAGCAGAGAGUGUGACUGAGGGGAUUUCUAGGAGCACUGUUGCAAAGGAGGUAGUAAACUUAAUAAGAGGAUAUCUAAGACUGCUAAUCUAUUUUUUAAUUUGAAUUUAUUGUUUAAUUUACGUCCAAGUUAGUUAGCAUAUGGUGCAGCAAUGAUUUCAGGAAUAGGUUCCAUAAUGCCUCUUACCCAUUGAGACCAUCCCCCCUCCAACCACCCUCCAGCAACCCUCUGUUCUCUAUAUUUAAGAGUGCCUUAUGUUUUGUCCCCCUCCCUAUUUUUAUAUUAUUUUUGCUUCCCUUCCCUUAUGUUCAUCUGUUUUGUAUCUUAAAUCCUCAUGAGUGAAGUCAUGUGAUACUUGUCUUUCUCUAAUUUCGCUUAGCAUAAUACCCUCCAGUUCCAUCCCCGUAGUUGCAAAUGGCAAGAUUUCCUUCUUUUUGAUAGCCGAGUAAUACUCCACUGUAUAUGUGUAUACCACAUUUUCUUUAUCCAUUCAUCCAUCGAUGGACAUUUGGGCUCUUUCCAUACUUUGGCUGUUGUUGAUAGUGCUGCUAUAAACAUUGGGGUGCAUGUGCCCCUUUGAAACAGCACACCUGUAUCCCUUGGAUAAAUACCUAGUAGUGCAAUUGCUGUUAAGACCGCUAACCUAAAUGAAAGUUGCAGAUAGCCCCAGCUUACUCCAUCCUUCUACACUCUGUUCCAGCAAAUAACAUGCCCCAUUAAAGAAGAGUAAUCAGAAAAGACCCAGAAGGGUACUGCUUUAGGUCAGGUUCUCUAGAAACAGAGCCCAAAACAGAGAUUCUUGCAGGAGCGAUUUACUGAAUGAGUGCUGUCAGGAAGCAGGAUAUACCAGGAGGGGAAAGCUAAUCCAAGAUCUGGCUUCAGCUGAAGCCCCAGCCUGAUCCCAUAGGGAGCUCUGGACCAUGAGUGGCACCAGAGAGGUAUACUCCCCACCAUGAGGCAAAGGACCAGGACUUUGUGCUUCAAAUGCAUCAAUCAUGGGCCACCUCAGGAAUUUUGGGUAACACAGCUCCUGUCACUUGAGGGCACUUGUCAGGAGAAAGGGCAUCUGUGAGGAACCAAUACGGCAGCUGGCAGAUGGGUGCACUGGCUUGGUGAGAGGGACCAGGGUGGAUCACCAACAACAUCCAGUAUCUCAGUGCUCCUCAAACUGUGGUCCCUGAAACAGCAGCGUCAGCCUCUAUCUGAGAACUUGUUAGAAACGCAGAUUUCCUAGCCCCCCCUCCCCCCGCCCCAGAUCUGUUGAAUCAGAAAUACUGGGGGGUGAGACCCAUGAAUCUAUUUUAACAAGCCCUCCAGGGAAUUUUAAUGCAUGCCGAAGCUUGAGAACCACCAUACUGUAGAGAAUGAUGACUAGAAACUAAGACAUUGGAGGAAAAAAACAAAAAUAAAGCGGCUAUACAACACAUGUUGCAAGAGAAAUUAAAGAA